rnacentral:rRNA from 1 species
CUACGGGAUGCAGCAGUGAGGAAUAUUGCACAAUGGGGGAAACCCUGAUGCAGCAACGCCGCGUGGAGGAUGACGCAUUUCGGUGUGUAAACUCCUUUUAUAUGUCAAGAAAAUGACGGUAGCAUAUGAAUAAGCACCGGCUAACUCCGUGCCAGCAGCAGCGGUAAUACGGAGGGUGCAAGCGUUACUCGGAAUCACUGGGCGUAAAGGACGCGUAGGCUGGUUGGUAAGUCAGGUGUGAAAUCCUACAGCUUAACUGUAGAACUGCACUUGAAACUACCAACCUAGAGUAUGGGAGGGGGAGAUGGAAUUAGUGGUGUAGGGGUAAAAUCCGUAGAUAUCACUAGGAAUACCGAAAGCGAAGGCGAUCUCCUGGAACAUAACUGACGCUAAGGCGUGAAAGCGUGGGGAGCAAACAGGAUUAGAUACCCGAGUAGUC